UUCAAGCUAAAGAACUUGCUAAAGAGCGUAAAAAAGCUAAGAGAUAUGCAGCUUUCUCUGCAGGGUAUAAUAUACUAUCAUUAGUUGCUUAUUGCUUCUUUUCUAUCUCUGCUAUCUAGUAUUCUCACUCACCUUAAUUCAUCAGAGGAGCGGAAACGGAGUGAAUCAUUCGAGGAGGAACUCGAGUCUCUGAGACCUCGUUGGAUAUUAGCAAAGUGCGUAGUGAAUUGGAUGCAAAAUUACUUGAACAAGACGGAAACUGAAACCUUUCCUGGAAAAGAAGAAAUGGAGCAGCCUAGAAACGGAUUUGAAGGAAACACAAAGAGGAAGGUAUAAAGCACGGCAAGAACUAAAACGACUCAAACAACACUUGCUUGCUAGAAAAGGUCAGCUAUUGUAUCAGUAGCUUCUGGAAAUUAUCUCUGUUUUCCUUGCGACACUCUUAAAAUUUGUUACGACUUCAAUCUAAAACAAAGUUUAAUUGUAUUUCUCUUUGAUAUUUUUCUGAGAAGAUUAUGGAUUUAUAUUUUAUUGUCCAUAAUUCUAAAACAUAACUCUUAAGCAGGCAAUGGCUAGUCAGGAGGAUAACAGGCUGAGUAAUGACCAAGCAAAUCCGGAAGUUAAAGGAAACAAUUGAUGACUUGAAUCAAAAGCUAACAAAUUGUUUGAGAACAAUCGAGUCCAAGAAUGUUGAACUUCUAAAUCUUCAAACCGCUCUUGGCCAGUACUAUGCCGAAAUCGAAGCUACGGUUGGUAUAAUAUGAGGAAAAUGAGAUUCUUACACGCAAUU